GACGAACGCUGGCGGCGUGCCUAAUACAUGCAAGUCGAGCGAAGCGGCGGAUGGGUGAGUAACGCGUGGGUAACCUGCCCUUAAGACUGGGAUAGCAUUGGGAAACCGAUACUAAUACCGGAUACUGAAGGAGGGUCCUGCGAUCCAUUAGCUAGUUGGGAAGGUAACGGCGUACCAAGUCGAUGAUGCAGAGCCGAGUUGAGAGGCUGAUCGGCCACAUUGGGACUGAGACACGGCCCAAACUCCUAAGGGCGGCAGCAGUAGGGAAUCUUCCACAAUGGACGAAAGUCUGAUGGAGCAACGCGGCGUGAGUGAAGAAGGUUUUCGGAUCGUAAAGCUCUGUUGUUGGUGAAGCGGUAUCUAACCAGAAAGCCACGGCUAACUACGUGCCAGCAGCCGCGGUAAUUC
rnacentral:rRNA from 1 species